rfam:Camelus ferus unplaced genomic scaffold scaffold739, whole genome shotgun sequence.
GAGGGUAUAGCUCAGUGGUAGAGUGCAUGCUUAGCAUGCAUGAAAUUCUGGGUUCAAUCCCCAGUACCUCCA